UACGUAGGGUGCAAGCGUUAAUCGGAAUUACUGGGCGUAAAGUGUGCGCAGGCGGCAGAGCAAGUCGAGUGUGAAAGCCCCGGGCUUAACUUGGGAAUUGCGCUCGAAACUACUUUGCUGGAGUGUGGCAGAGGAAGGUGGAAUUCCACGUGUAGCGGUGAAAUGCGUAGAGAUGUGGAGGAACACCAAUGGCGAAGGCAGCCUUCUGGGCCAACACUGACGCUCAUGCACGAAAGCGUGGGGAUCAAACAGG
rnacentral:rRNA from 1 species